ACCAGAUACACCACCUCCUGUAACAAACUCGUACCUACGUGCGUGACAGGAAGAAAGCAAAGUUGUUUUGGAUGAAUUAUUGAUGUUUCUUCACAGUGUUCCCAGACACGUGUAAAUCUAAGGCAUCAACAUUUUCCUUACAUGCAGGAAUUAAUGGUGAUUCGACUGGCAGUGCAACGUGUGACUCCAUUGACCUGUCAUCCAUCACAGCCCGCUGGAGACACACAUUUCAGUGUGUAACACUCAGCAGAGCUCGGCCUUCCCUCGGCGCUCCGAACUCAAUUACACCGAUGCUAGUGCGACACAACGUUCUCUGCAAAGCCAAGCGAUUUCAGACCCUCACGCUAUCAUUCUUACUAUCCUGCUGUCUGUCGAUCCCUCAGUUCAUCUCUUUAUAACUGAACAGUGGUAUCUUUAUCAUGUUAUACAGUAUAAACAACUGCAUCCAUUUA